rnacentral:rRNA from 1 species
AGCGAACGCUGGCGGCAUGCCUAACACAUGCAAGUCGCACGGGGGGGCUUCGGCCUCCCAGUGGCGGACGGGUGAGGAACGCGUAGGGACCUCUCGAGGGGUGGGGGAUAACCGCGGGAAACUGCGGCUAAUACCGCAUGACGCCGCGGCGUGACAGCCGGGGCCAAAGGCGAAAGCCGCCCGCCGAGGGGCCUGCGUCCGAUUAGCUGGUUGGCGGGGUAGCGGCCCACCAAGGCGUCGAUCGGUAGCUGGUCUGAGAGGGUGAUCAGCCACACCGGGACUGAGACACGGCCCGGACUCCUACGGGAGGCAGCAGUGGGGAAUAUUGGACAAUGGGCGCAAGCCUGAUCCAGCAAUGCCGCGUGGGUGAAGAAGGUCUUCGGAUUGUAAAGCCCUUUCGGCGGGGACGAUGGUGACGGUACCCGCAGAAGAAGCCCCGGCUAACUUCGUG